rnacentral:lncRNA from 1 species
CCCUCAACUUAAUAUUAUUAAAGAGGUUUGAUUUAGGUCUCUUCUACAUGUCAUAUAUAUCUUAUGUAAUUGACUAGUCUAGUUUAGGUCAGCACAUCUCAUGUCUGACUAAUCUAGUUUAAGUCAGCACAUCUCAUGUCUGAUUAAAUUAAUUUAGAUUAGCACAUCUCAUAUCUGAUCAAGCCUAGUUUAGAUCAGCAUAUCUUAUGUCUGUCCAACCU